rnacentral:rRNA from 1 species
CCACGGGCCGCUCCAGUGAGGAAUAUUGCACAAUGGGGGGAACCCUGAUGCAGCAACGCCGCGUGGAGGAUGACGCAUUUCGGUGUGUAAACUCCUUUUAUAUGUCAAGAAAAUGACGGUAGCAUAUGAAUAAGCACCGGCUAACUCCGUGCCAGCAGCCGCGGUAAUACGGAGGGUGCAAGCGUUACUCGGAAUCACUGGGCGUAAAGGACGCGUAGGCGGGUUGGAAAGUCAGGUGUGAAAUCCUACAGCUUAACUGUAGAACUGCACUUGAAACUUCUAAUCUAGAGGAUGGGAGGGGGAGAUGGAAUUAGUGGUGUAGGGGUAAAAUCCGUAGAUAUCACUAGGAAUACCUAAAGCGAAGGCGAUCUCCUGGAACAUUACUGACGCUAAGGCGUGAAAGCGUGGGGAGCAAACAGGAUUAGAUACCCUCGUAGUC